rnacentral:misc_RNA from 1 species
ACUGAUAUUGGAGACUAUCAGGUAAAACUACGCAACCUGUUACGUUUCCUUGAAGAAGGCAACAAAGUGAAGGUAACAAUUCGCUUCCGUGGCCGAGAAAUGGCACACCAAGAUAUCGGUGUCGAUGUUUUGAAUCGUCUGAAAGAAGAUACAGUAGAUAUUGCUGUUGUAGAAUCUUUCCCUAGUCGGAUCGAAGCCCGUCAAAUGAUUAUGGUGCUAGCCCCUAAGAAGAAGUAAUGACCGGCUUGCAAGUAAUAGACCCCGUCGUCUAAGUACGGCGGGGUUUUAUUCGCCCUCAUUACAUGGUUAUUAAAAUCGAAACAAUGCGGAGUUAUUCAUCAUGCCUA